CAUCUAUCAUGCUGGGUGCUGAGGAAUGUACUCAUAGAUACCUGGUCUCUAUCCCUGUGGAGCUUACAGUUCAGUGGGGUCCAGUUAUGGGAACAUGGGUUUAAGGAGGUCUAUUCUAUUCUGGGUCAAUCUGGUUGCUCAUCCAACACCGGGCUCUCCCCAAGGCGAGCAGACUUGAACGGCAGCAACAUGGAGACAGUGAUCGGGCGAGGGCUGAAGACCACUGACGGGCUGGCAGUGGACUGGGUGGCCAGGAACCUGUACUGGACAGACACAGGUCGAAAUACCAUUGAGGCGUCCAGGCUGGAUGGUUCCUGCCGCAAAGUGUUGAUCAACAAUAGCCUGGAUGAGCCCCGGGCCAUUGCUGUUUUCCCCAGGAAGGGGUACCUCUUCUGGACAGACUGGGGCCACAUUGCCAAGAUCGAACGGGCAAACUUGGAUGGUUCUGAGCGGAAGGUCCUCAUCAACACAGACCUGGGUUGGCCCAAUGGCCUUACUCUGGACUAUGAUACCCGCAGGAUCUACUGGGUGGAUGCGCAUCUGGACCGGAUCGAGAGUGCUGACCUCAAUGGGAAACUGCGGCAGGUCUUGGUCAGCCAUGUGUCCCACCCCUUUGCCCUCACACAG
rnacentral:sRNA from 1 species